rnacentral:sRNA from 1 species
UGAAUUGUCUAGAGAGACUUGGUGGAGGAGGCCACGGCCCGCCUUGUCCCUGCCGGGUCCCAGCCAGGUGUGUGUGCCCCAGCUGGACUCUCGGUGGUCUCCACAGGCUGCAGCAGAAGGAAUACCUUGGAAUUGGAUGCCGGCUGGCCCCCCUGACAGUUCCUGGCCUAGGGGCUGUCAUGGCAGAGGGAAGCCACCAAGGGCCCUGUGCUAAUCACGAGUCUUUCCUGUUCAGAGCAGUGAGGCCUGAGACCCUCAACAGUGCUGUGUGUACAGAAGGCCCCCAGAAUCCACACAAAGGGGCCGCCUGAAACCUAGAGCAUUUGUGAAGGAGGAAAAUGGAAGGAACAACUGGAUGUUGUAAAUGUUUCUCAUCUGGCCUUAAAAUCCAUGAAAGCUGGAAAAUCACAAGGCAUCUGUGCACAUACUGGUGGAUUUUAAUGAGAGUCCUGUGUUUGGAGCACCAGAAAUAAACCAGCUUCAGAAGCAAAGGAGGAGGAAGCAGAGCUAGAGAUGGAAGGAGACCCAGCCAGCCCGGGCUCCAGUGACAUCGGCUGGUACACGCUUUUGUUUGCUUACGCUUGUUGAACUGAGUUUUUCAUAUGUAACUAACGAAUAGUGGCACAUGUGAGACUGGGCAUGAUUCAGAAAAGUUGGAAGAUCUAGAGAGGGAUCUUGCAAUCUGAAGUUUCUUGUUUAGUCACUGGAGGAUCUGAACGUCUAUGACACUCUUUCGAGCUGACACAGUGAAGAACAUG